rnacentral:rRNA from 1 species
AUUGAACGCUGGCGGCAGGCCUAACACAUGCAAGUCGAACGGUAACAGGAAGCAGCUUGCUGCUUUGCUGACGAGUGGCGGACGGGUGAGUAAUGUCUGGGAAACUGCCCGAUGGAGGGGGAUAACUACUGGAAACGGUAGCUAAUACCGCAUAACGUCGCAAGACCAAAGAGGGGGACCUUAGGGCCUCUUGCCAUCGGAUGUGCCCAGAUGGGAUUAGCUAGUAGGUGGGGUAACGGCUCACCUAGGCGACGAUCCCUAGCUGGUCUGAGAGGAUGACCAGCCACACUGGAACUGAGACACGGUCCAGACUCCUACGGGAGGCAGCAGUGGGGAAUAUUGCACAGUGGGCGCAAGCCUGAUGCAGCCAUGCCGCGUGUAUGAAGAAGGCCUUCGGGUUGUAAAGUACUUUCAGCGGGGAGGAAGGGAGUAAAGUUAAUACCUUUGCUCAUUGACGUUACCCGCAGAAGAAGCACCGGCUAACUCCGUG